GAGCCAUUAGCUCAGAUGGUAGAGCAUCUGACUUUUAAUCAGAGGGUCGGAGGUUCGAAUCCUCCAUGGCUCACCA
rnacentral:tRNA from 1 species